rnacentral:rRNA from 1 species
CCUACGGGUGGCUGCAGUGGGGAAUAUUGGACAAUGGGCGCAAGCCUGAUCCAGCAACGCCGCGUGGAGGAUGAAGGCCUUCGGGUUGUAAACUCCUGUCAGGUGGAACGAAAAACCUCAGCUAACAACUGAGCAUAUGACGGUACCACCAGAGGAAGCCCCGGCUAACUCUGUGCCAGCAGCCGCGGUAAUACAGAGGGGGCAAGCGUUAUUCGGAAUUAUUGGGCGUAAAGGGCGCGUAGGCGGCCAAGCAAGUCAGGGGUGAAAUCCCUCGG